rnacentral:rRNA from 1 species
GACGAACGCUGGCGGCGUGCUUAACACAUGCAAGUCGAACGGAAAGGCCCUGCUUUUGUGGGGUGCUCGAGUGGCGAACGGGUGAGUAACACGUGAGUAACCUGCCCUUGACUUUGGGAUAACUUCAGGAAACUGGGGCUAAUACCGGAUAGGAGCUCCUGCUGCAUGGUGGGGGUUGGAAAGUUUCGGCGGUUGGGGAUGGACUCGCGGCUUAUCAGCUUGUUGGUGGGGUAGUGGCUUACCAAGGCUUUGACGGGUAGCCGGCCUGAGAGGGUGACCGGCCACAUUGGGACUGAGAUACGGCCCAGACUCCUACGGGAGGCAACAGUGGGGAAUAUUGCACAAUGGGCGGAAGCCUGAUGCAGCAACGCCGCGUGCGGGGUGACGGCCUUCGGGUUGUAAACCGCUUUCGCCUGUGACGAAGCGUGAGUGACGGUAAUGGGUAAAGAAGCACCGGCUAACUACGUGCCAGCAGCCGCGGUGAUACGUAGGGUGCGAGCGUUGUCCGGAUUUAUUGGGCGUAAAGGGCUCGUAGGUGGUUGAUCGCGUCGGAAGUGUAAUCUUGGGGCUUAACCCUGAGCGUGCUUUCGAUACGGGUUGACUUGAGGAAGGUAGGGGAGAAUGGAAUUCCUGGUGGAGCGGUGGAAUGCGCAGAUAUCAGGAGGAACACCAGUGGCGAAGGCGGUUCUCUGGGCCUUUCCUGACGCUGAGGAGCGAAAGCGUGGGGAGCGAACAGGCUUAGAUACCCUGGUAGUCCACGCUGUAAACGGUGGGUACUAGGUGUGGGGUCCAUUCCACGGGUUCCGUGCCGUAGCUAACGCUUUAAGUACCCCGCCUGGGGAGUACGGCCGCAAGGCUAAAACUCAAAGGAAUUGACGGGGCCCCGCACAAGCGGCGGAGCAUGCGGAUUAAUUCGAUGCAACGCGUAGAACCUUACCUGGGUUUGACAUGGAUCGGGAGUGCUCAGAGAUGGGUGUGCCUCUUUUGGGGUCGGUUCACAGGUGGUGCAUGGCUGUCGUCAGCUCGUGUCGUGAGAUGUUGGGUUAAGUCCCGCAACGAGCGCAACCCUUGUUCACUGUUGCCAGCACGUUAUGGUGGGGACUCAGUGGAGACCGCCGGGGUCAACUCGGAGGAAGGUGGGGAUGACGUCAAGUCAUCAUGCCCCUUAUGUCCAGGGCUUCACGCAUGCUACAAUGGCUGGUACAGAGAGUGGCGAGCCUGUGAGGGUGAGCGAAUCUCGGAAAGCCGGUCUCAGUUCGGAUUGGGGUCUGCAACUCGACCUCAUGAAGUCGGAGUCGCUAGUAAUCGCAGAUCAGCAACGCUGCGGUGAAUACGUUCCCGGG